GGAGAAUGCGAGAGGCCCAUAAUGAAGGAUCUCGCCUCUUUUUGUGGAAAAGACUGGAGGCAGUCCUGAGAGACACUGCCCAGUGAUUGAUCUGGAGUAAGUCAUGUAUUACCUCCCCCAUGUUUGCUCAGUCAGUAUAGGCUGUGCUCUGAAGAACCCUGUGAUUCCAGCUGAGAUGCAUAAGGAAUGGAUCCCAAUGAAUCAUUUGCUAGUGAACAUGCCUUUAAAAUAACUCCAGAGGAAGAAUUCUUUCAAGGAUCUGUUUUCGAUGCCUAUCGUCUAACCAAAGCUCACUCUUAGAUGUUGAGAAAGGAAGAAAAAAAUAAGAAAAGCACCACUUUAUCUAAGAGCAUCACACUGUUCUUCUGUUCCCAUACACAGGCAUGUAGUGUGACAGGGAGGGAAUUGGAGAGGCAAAAGAAGUACAUGACUGACUUUAUCAUCACCAGAGUAGCUCAACCCAGCAGCCUGAAAGGGCUAGCUGUGCGGAAACUUCAACCUUGCUGUCACCUUAUAUCAUCGCUGCAGUCUACAUCAGAGGCGAAUCAGAGUGGAGUGACCCAAGCCAAGACAAAUCCAUCCAUCAGACUUCCAACACUGAACCUGCCAGCAAAGCUGAGAGCGUUUGGCUAGAGCAAAGAGCUUUCAAUCAUGCAAAUCUCAGCUCUGGGUUCCCUAAAGUCCAUCAACAUGUAGACUUUGCAACAAGAGGGAUGAACAUGUUGGAUCUUGUUUACACAAACAUCCCCAGCGCAUGCUGUGCGGAGUCCCACUCCCACCUCGGACACUCAGACUACAUCUCUGUUAUGCUUAUACCAGCAUACAGACCAUUCCAAGCCUGUUCUGAGACAAGUGAAAACCUAGCCAGCUGGAGCCAUCCAUGCUCAUCAGGAUUACUUUCAGCACACUGUCUAGUGUAUAUUUAGGGAAUCUGCAACUGACGGUGCAUCAGUUACUGGCUACAUCACAAGUGCACUGAUGAUGUUACUGUAUCCAAAACCAUCUGCACUUGCCCCAACCAGAAGCCAAGGAUGACUGCUUAGGUGUGAAUGCUACCGAAGACCCAUGAUGCAGCCUUCAGAGCAAAGUGGCCCUGAGAACAGGAAGGGCCAAAUUAUUACAGACUAUAAGAAAUGUGUAGCACAUGUGCUUAGAAAAUCUAUGGGCACUUCCAGAACUCACACAAAACACGACACGUGGCAGGAUAUUUAGGCCAUCACCAAUUACAGGACAACAUCUCCUGCCUGUGAGAGAGAUGUCUUCUUUCCCGAUGCAUUGAAUGACUUCUAUGCACAGUUUGAGGAACAGAAUAAGGUUGCAUCAGGAAAGACCACCCCUCCUUCCAACGAUCAGGUUCUGUGUCUGACCGUGGAUGAUAUUAGAAAAGCUACAUAGAGUCAACCCACGGAACGCUGCUGGACCAGACACCAUUCCUGGCCAAGUGCUCAGAGGAUGUUCAUUUCAGCUGGUGGAUGUUCUCAUGGACAUCUUCAAUAUAUCCAUGAGCAGCAUCACCAUCCCUACAUGCUUCAAGGCCACCACUAUUGUCCCAGUGCCGAAAGGAUUUCAGUGUCCUGCCUCAAUGACUGCCAUCCCGUCACACUCACGCCCAUCAUCAUGAAGGACAAAAAGUUAGAAUGGCUUGUGCAAAGUCAACAACCUGUCUCUGAAAGUAGAAAAAAAACCAAAGAGAUUUCAGGAAAGUACAUGGUGGUCAUUCUCCAAUGACUCCUCUGUAGAAAUUGUUACAAGCACCAAGUUCCAUGGUGUCCAUCUAGGAGAGAACCUCACUUGGACCCUCAAUAACAGCUCCAUAGCCAAGGAAGCCCAGGAAUGACUCUAAUUUCUGAGAAGGCUGAAGAAAACACAUCCCCCUACCACCAUCCUCACUAUAUUCUACAGAGGGACAUCUUCAUCAGCUGCAUCACCGCCUGGUUUGAGAAUUGUUCUACCUUGGACCACAAGACCCUGCAGAGAAUAGUGAGGACAGCUGAAAGAUCAUUAGAGUCAAAUAUUCAUCAAAUAUUGAACAAAUGCUGUAUUCCAUUUAACAAAAUUAUAUUCUUAAAUUAGUGUACCUGGUGCUGUAUGCUAUAAGCGUAUCUGUUUAAACAUCACAGUAUGGUACAUCUUUUGCAUAUCCACACACUCAUUGUCAUGCACUGGUUGGUGAUGCUAUCUAUGUUAUCUGUAUUUCAUAUUCAUUGUUCUUCGUUUCUGUUGCACCAUGGUCCUGUAAGAACAUCAUCUUGUUUCACUGUAUACCUGUAUAUAGCUGAAAUAAUAAUAAAAGGCCUCUUGACUCUU